GUCGACGAAACUUCUUUAUCACCGAGUGCUUGCACUCACCGAUAAAGAGUUGAGUGGCGAACGGGUGAGUAACACGUGGGCAACCUGCCCAAAAGAGGGGGAUAACACUUGGAAACAGGUGCUAAUACCGCAUAACCAUAGUUACCGCAUGGUAACUAUGUAAAAGGUGGCUAUGCUACCGCUUUUGGAUGGGCCCGCGACGCAUUAGCUAGUUGGUGGGGUAAAGGCUUACCAAGGCAAUGAUGCGUAGCCGAACUGAGAGGUUGAUCGGCCACAUUGGGACUGAGACACGGCCCAAACUCCUACGGGAGGCAGCAGUAGGGAAUCUUCCACAAUGGGCGAAAGCCUGAUGGAGCAACGCCGCGUGGGUGAAGAAGGUCUUCGGAUCGUAAAACCCUGUUGUUAGAGAAGAAAGUGCGUGAGAGUAACUGUUCACGUUUCGACGGUAUCUAACCAGAAAGCCACGGCUAACUACGUGCCAGCAGCCGCGGUAAUACGUAGGUGGCAAGCGUUAUCCGGAUUUAUUGGGCGUAAAGAGAACGCAGGCGGUCUUUUAAGUCUGAUGUGAAAGCCUUCGGCUUAACUGGAGUAGUGCAUUGGAAACUGGGAGACUUGAGUGCAGAAGAGGAGAGUGGAACUCCAUGUGUAGCGGUGAAAUGCGUAGAUAUAUGGAAGAACACCAGUGGCGAAAGCGGCUCUCUGGUCUGUAACUGACGCUGAGGUUCGAAAGCG
rnacentral:rRNA from 1 species